rnacentral:tRNA from 1 species
GUCCCCAUCGUCUAGAGGCUUAGGACAUUGCCCUUUCACGGCAGUAACACCGGUUCGAAUCCGGUUGGGGACG